UUUCCGUAGGUGAACCUGCGGAAGGAUCAUUAUUGAAUGAACUUGGCUUGGUUGUUGCUGGCUUCUUUGGAGGCAUGUGCACACCUUGUCAUCUUUAUAUCCCCACCUGUGCACCUCUUGUAGACCUGGAUUCAACAUUUCCGAGGCAACUCGGUCGUGAGGAAUUGCUUAACCAGCUUUCCUUGGUAGUCUCCAGGCCUAUGUUUUUCAUAUACACCAUAAGAAUGUAACAGAAUGUAAUUAUUAGACUUGAUUGUCUUAUAAACUAUAUACAACUUUCAGCAACGGAUCUCUUGGCUCUC
rnacentral:misc_RNA from 1 species